GACGAACCGAGCGAACGUUGUUCGGAAUCACUGGGCUUAAAGGGCGCGUAGGCGGCGUGUUAAGUCAGCUGUGAAAUCUCCAAGCUUAACUUGGAACGGUCAGCUGAUACUGAUGUGCUAGAGUGCAGAAGGGGCAAUCGGAAUUCUUGGUGUAGCGGUGAAAUGCGUAGAUAUCAAGAGGAACACCUGAGGUGAAGACGGGUUGCUGGGCUGACACUGACGCUGAGGCGCGAAAGCUAGGGUAGCAAACGGG
rnacentral:rRNA from 1 species